UUUUUAUCAUUUCACUCUUGUUUUUCUUCAUUUUGCAAGUGUUAUUUUGUCUGGCGAUUUGUACAUAGGAGUAUAAUGUAGACACCACUCUUCCUCAGCAUAAAAAUAUUCAUGGUUGGUUCGUCCGUUGUCGUGGUUGGGAGCUUAGUUUAAAUAACUCCAAGUCAGACACUACCCGGCACAACAAGUAAGUA